AUGUUGUCCUCAUGUCUUACGGGACUUGAAGUCAUGUCCAGGACUUUAAGUGAAUGAAUGCAUGCUUGUCUCCAAGCUGGUGUGUUAUAUCUGGGGAAAAGGGAAAAAGUGCCAAUCAUGUCUUUCUUCAUUGUUUUGUGGAUGCAAAGCCAUGGUCCAAUCUGUUCAGGGAAGCAGGUUUUUUCCUGGGAAUUGCCAAAGUGGAGUUGGGUGAUAAUCCUUACCUACUGUCUGAGACCAAAUGGAAAAAGAGUUUAG
rnacentral:lncRNA from 1 species